UCUGGCUCUCCUUUCUCUCCCCACCCACCUCACAUGCACACACCCCGGACUCCUUCCCACUCCUUCUCCUCACGCGCUCUUACUGUCUACUUUCGCUGGGGACGACUGCAACAAGCUCAGUUUUUUUUCCUUCUUUUUCUUUUGCUUGCCAUCCUUUGCUUUUGGUUAUGCCCUCAUGUAAGGAGGCACCGCCACACAGAUGCUUCACCCUUACUCUACGUGGCGACUCUGAAAAAAAAGCAGGGCCGUGGAUUCUCCCUGCGUUAGACUGCAUGCCACAAACUGCAGUAUUUUUUUUUUUUCAACUUAAAACUCGAUUUCAGUUUAGAGACGUUUUUCUUUUUCAAAUCUCAUCUUCAAUCUGAAGCGCUAGAUGAGGGUGGAAGAAAAAGAAAAGUGUCCGAUUAAUAGACAGAUGAAGGGGACAUGGGCAAAGAAUGAGGGGAAAAUGGAGAGCAUGGUCUGCGGGAGAAAGUGAGAAAGACGGAGAGAGGGAGAGAGAGAGAGAGAGAGAGAGGUAGGAAAAAGAGUACCGGCACUGGCAAGAAAAACGGGAGGGGGAAGAGAGGAGAAGGGGGACCAGUAGGGGAUAGACUUAGGAAGGAGGGACGGCUGGAUAGAAAAUGGCAAAAAUCGCGGGAAAAGGAGAAAAAACUAAACUCCAGAAUGAGAGGGAGCCGGACUUCUCGCCUCACUCAGGCUUGCAGUCUCUGGUUGCCUUUCAUUUUUUGUUUUUUGACAUGAUUUUUCAUCACUUCUGCGGUCACCCUCUCAUUCAUCUAUUGAGCUGCCGAGACAACCUGAACCUUUUCUUUGAAGAUGUUGAUCAGGAAUGCCAUGGUCAACUACAGAAGCUCCCCAGUGCGAGCAGAGCCAUGGGAAAAGCCUCCGACUAGAUCCCGGUUAUGAGGAUGUGAUCGAGUCGCGUUUGUCCGGACGCGUCGAGACGAAACAUUUCAUGUCGGACUGCAUCGACAUAGAAAACGGAAAGACAAGAGCUGAAACUGAUGCCGACAGACGACAUGAUGAUUUACCACCAUCACACUCAUAAUAUUUAUAAGUAUGUAUAGUGUUCAUUCUUAUACAUCUGAUUUCUCACUAUCAUUUUAUACAUAGUAGAUGGCAGAUUAUCAUGUCAUAUUUAUCAGGCCAGUUAUGGCUUUUUUCUUAAGUUUACUCAUCUAUUCUAUGCAUCUGUUCACUGUCCCUGUGCGCGAUCAAUAAAGUUUAUCUUCUAAAUCAGUCA